AGAGUUUGAUCCUGGCUCAGGAUGAACGCCUGGCGGCAUGCUUAACACAUGCAAGUCGAACGGACAAUCACCCUUCGGGGUGUGCGUUAGUGGCGGACGGGUGAGUAACGCGUGAGGAACCUGCCUUGCAGUGGGGAAUAACAGCCGGAAACGGCUGCUAAUACCGCAUGAUGCAUGAUUGUCGCAUGGCAAUUAUGCCAAAGAUUUAUCGCUGUGAGAUGGCCUCGCGUCUGAUUAGCUUGUUGGCGGGGUAACGGCCCACCAAGGCGACGAUCAGUAGCCGGACUGAGAGGUUGGCCGGCCACAUUGGGACUGAGACACGGCCCAGACUCCUACGGGAGGCAGCAGUGGGGAAUAUUGGGCAAUGGGCGCAAGCCUGACCCAGCAAUGCCGCGUGAAGGAAGACGGUUUUCGGAUUGUAAACUUCUUUUAACAGGGACGAUAAUGACGGUACCUGUUGAAUAAGCUCCGGCUAACUACGUGCCAGCAGCCGCGGUAAUACGUAGGGAGCGAGCGUUAUCCGGAUUUACUGGGUGUAAAGGGCGUGUAGGCGGGACAACAAGUCAGAUGUGAAAGCACGGGGCUCAACUCCGUGUCUGCAUUUGAAACUGUAGUUCUUGAGUGCUGGAGAGGCUAACGGAACUCCUAGUGUAGCGGUGAAAUGCGUAGAUAUUAGGAAGAACACCAGUGGCGAAGGCGGUUAGCUGGACAGUAACUGACGCUGAGGCGCGAAAGCGUGGGUAGCAAACAGGAUUAAAUACCCUGGUAGUCCACGCAGUUAAACGAUGGAUACUAGGUGUGCGGGGACUAAACCCCCCUGCGUGCCGCAGCAAACGCAAUAAGUAUCCCCACCUGGGGAGUACGAUCGCAAGGUUGAAACUCAAAGGAAUUGACGGGGGCCCGCACAAGCGGUGGAGCAUGUGGUUUAAUUCGAAGCAACGCGAAGAACCUUACCAGGUCUUGACAUCCCUGCGACCGGUGUAGAGAUACACCUUCUCUUCGGAGCGCGGGAGACAGGUGGUGCAUGGUUGUCGUCAGCUCGUGUCGUGAGAUGUUGGGUUAAGUCCCGCAACGAGCGCAACCCCUAUUGUUAGUUGCUACGCAAGAGCACUCUAGCGAGACUGCCGUUGACAAAACGGAGGAAGGUGGGGACGACGUCAAAUCAUCAUGCCCCUUAUGACCUGGGCCACACACGUGCUACAAUGGCGUAUAACAGAGGGAGGCAAAGCCGCGAGGCAGAGCAAACCCCCAAAAUACGUCUCAGUUCGGAUUGCAGGCUGCAACUCGCCUGUAUGAAGUUGGAAUCGCUAGUAAUCGCGAAUCAGCAUGUCGCGGUGAAUACGUUCCCGGGCCUUGUACACACCGCCCGUCACACCAUGAGAGUCGGGAACACCCGAAGUCCGUAGCCUGACCGCAAGGGGGGCGCAGCCGAAGGUGGGUUCGAUAAUUGGGGUGAAGUCGUAACAAGGUAGCCGUAGGAGAACCUGCGGCUGGAUCACCUCCUUUCU
rnacentral:rRNA from 1 species